rnacentral:RNase_P_RNA from 1 species
CAAGGUGGCCGGGUAGCCGCCGUUCGCUUCGGCGAAGGGAGGAAAGUCCGGACUCCUCCGGGCAAGCAUGCUGGGUAACGCCCAGGCGGGGAAACCCGACGGAAAGUGCCACAGAAAACAUACCGCCGGUCGCAAGGCCGGUAAGGGCGAACCGGUGCGGUAAGAGCGCACCGCUCCAGCGGUAACGGUGGAGGCAGGGAAAACCCCAUGUGGAGCAAGACCAAAUAGGGGGACGCAGGCGCCCGGACAGUCCCCGGGUUGGUCGCUUGAGCCGUCUGGUAACGGGCGGCCUAGAGAGAUGGCUACUGCCCGCUUCGGCGGGUACAGAAUCCGGCUUAUACGCCACCUUGCCAA